GACGAACGCUGGCGGCGUGCCUAAUACAUGCAAGUAGAACGCUGAAGGAGGAGCUUGCUUCUCCGGAUGAGUUGCGAACGGGUGAGUAACGCGUAGGUAACCUGCCUGGUAGCGGGGGAUAACUAUUGGAAACGAUAGCUAAUACCGCAUAAGAGUAGAUGUCGCAUGACAUUUGCUUAAAAGGUGCAACUGCACCACUACCAGAUGGACCUGCGUUGUAUUAGCUAGUUGGUGAGGUAACGGCUCACCAAGGCAACGAUACAUAGCCGACCUGAGAGGGGGAUCGGCCACACUGGGACUGAGACACGGCCCAGACUCCUACGGGAGGCAGUAGUAGGGAAUCUUCGGCAAUGGACGGAAGUCUGACCGAGCAACGCCGCGUGAGUGAAGAAGGUUUUCGGAUCGUAAAGCUCUGUUGUAAGAGAAGAACGAGUGUGAGAGUGGAAAGUUCACACUGUGACGGUAUCUUACCAGAAAGGGACGGCUAACUACGUG
rnacentral:rRNA from 1 species